rnacentral:lncRNA from 1 species
AGUGGGGUCUGGGAAACGAGCAAAACCAGAGGUUCAACCAGGCUCCAGGGGAAACGCCUGCAGUCCUCCCUAAAUGUCCUUCCUAAGUUUGUGUCUCCCGUCAGUUUGCCAUCUGAGCUGGCACCCUCAGAGAACUCGACCCCCCAUCCCCAAACUGGACCAAAAGGUCAGCUCUCCACUUGGCCUUUCCAGAGGCCACAGCCCAACCUUAAGGGUGAGAAAGCCACACCGAGCGUGUCCACGCACUUCUAAGCUCCCUUCUAAGCUCCGGUGCAGUCUCCCUUCUGAUCCCCGAGCCGGUUUUUGGCAGAGAUGGGUCGGGCUGGGGACUCUUUGGCCUGGCAUCCCCGCAGCCAACUGGCUCAGCCUUCGAAGAGGCCCGGGCUGAACCUCACGUCACCCCUGCUUUGCAAAGCAGCAGGGCCAAGUGCUCUGGCAGGAGAAAGGCCUUUUUUGGUAACGCUGAGCCUGGCGGUUAAGCAGGACCCGGUCAAAACAAACGUCUGGGCUGGGCCCUCCUCCGGCCUCUCCAAGGGCCCCCAUCCCCGCGAGCCAGGAACCACCCCCACCCACCGACCCCCGGGCUCUAGGGGUGGGAGAAUCGAUCUGCGAUCCGCAAGGACUUUGGGGGUGAAGAAUGUCACUGCCAUCCCAACAGAUGCAAAAUUAUGCACACAUUAACGCCAGUUAUUUCGGAGGUAAAAUGAGUCACUGGUCAGCUUUGAGCAAAAUGUUAUAACUGUGCUUCUCUGGCAUCCUCUGAGACUUUUCCUUCUGUCUCUCCCUCUCUGGGUUUUCAAUACCCUGGCCUUAGGUAGGGGUGAUGGAGGAAAAUCUGAAGCUCUAGAAUACAGCAAAGUAUUAGGGAACUCACUGAAUUACCCUACCUACCUUUACAAGAACAGUUGCAUUUUAAAUAUCCACCCCCGAGGAGGACCCCGGGCUGAAUGAUGAAGUUUGGGAAGGAAGAAUGUGGAGAGGGGGCAUUUUAUGGUGGAAAGACCCUCCGUCCAGAUCUACAAGCCAUCUCCUAUGAGAAACCACCCUUUGCUCUCACCUAAUUCAGGUAACAUGGGCUGUGCACACGCACCCAGUCUUUCCUGUCCUAUCUUUGGGCUAGAGGCCCUUGAAUAACUCUAGCUGUUGCCCUCAAAACACUUGUAGCCCAGGGGCGCCAGGAUGGCUCAGUCAGUUAAAUGUCCUACUCUUGAGUUCCCCUUGGGUCAUGAUCCUGGGGUCAGCUCGGGAUCAUGUGAGAUCAAGCCCCUGGAGGGGGGGGGCGGCUCUGCGCUCAGUGAGGAUUCUGCUCAAGAUUCCCUCUCUCUGUUCCUCCCCCCAC